rnacentral:rRNA from 1 species
UACGUAGGGGGCAAGCGUUGUCCGGAUUUAUUGGGCGUAAAGAGCGUGUAGGCGGCCAAGCAGGUCCGCUGUGAAAACUCGAGGCUCAACCUCGAGACGUCGGUGGAAACCGUUUGGCUAGAGUCCGGAAGAGGAGAGUGGAAUUCCCGGUGUAGCGGUGAAAUGCGCAGAUAUCGGGAAGAACACCCGUGGCGAAGGCGGCUCUCUGGGACGGUACUGACGCUAAGACGCGAAAGCGUGGGGAGCGAACAGG